AAGACGGCAUACGAGAUGCGCAUUAGUGACUGGAGUUCAGACGUGUGCUCUUCCGAUCUGUUUCCAGUCACGAUACGGAAGGGUUAGUAACACAUAAACAAUCUGCCUUUAACCUGGGAAUAACGACUGGAAACGGUCGCUAAUACCGAAUGAAGUGGCACAGGGCAUCCUGUUGCUAUAAAAGUGGGGGACCAGCAAUGGCCUUGCGGUUGAAGAGGAGUUUAUGGGAUAUCAGCUUGUUGGGGAGGUAACGGCUCACCAAGGCUAAGACGUCUAGGCGGAUUGAGAGAUUGACCGCCAACACUGGGACUGAGACACUGCCCAGACUUCUACGGAAGGCUGCAGUCGAGAAUCUUUCGCAAUGGGCGAAAGCCUGACGAAGCGACGCUGUGUGAGCGAUGAAGGCCCUCGGGUUGUAAAGCUCUUUCGCAUGGGAACAAGAAAAACUUCAGAAUACGAAGUUUAUCUGAGAGUAUCAUGUAAAGAAGCACCGGCUAACCACGUGCCAGCAGCUGCGGUAAUACGUGGGGUGCAAGCAUUAAUCGGAUUUAUUGGGCGUAAAGGGCGCGUAGGCGGAUAGGAAAGUUAGUUGUGAAAGCCUUGAGCUCAACUCAAGAACGGCAACUAAUACUCCCUGUCUAGAGGGUAGGCGGAGAAAACGGAAUUCCAUGUGUAGCGGUGAAAUGCGUAGAUAUAUGGAAGAACACCGGUGGCGAAAGCGGUUUUCUAGCUUAUUCCUGACGCUGAGGCGCGAAAGCAAGGGGAGCAAACAGGAUUAGAUACCCUGGUAGUCCUUGCCGUAAACGAUGUAUACUUGGUGUAGCUGGUCUCAACCCCAGCUGUGCCGUAGCUAACGCGUUAAGUAUACCGCCUGGGGAGUACGGUCGCAAGAUUAAAACUCAAAGGAAUUGACGGGGACCCGCACAAGCGGUGGAUGAUGUGAAAAUAUCGUGACUGGGAAAC
rnacentral:rRNA from 1 species